GAUGAAGAACGUAGCGAAAUGCGAUAAGUAAUGCGAAUUGCAGAAUUUCCGUGAGUCAUCGAAUCUUUGAACGCACAUUGCGCCCACUGGUAUUCCGGUGGGCAUGCCUGUUCGAGCGUCAUUUAAACCUUCAAGCUAAGCUUGGUGUUGGGUGACUGUCCGCUUCACGGCGGACUCGCCUCAAAAUUAUUGGCGGCCGGUACAUUGGCUUCGAGCGCAGCAGAAACGCGAACUCGGGCCCGUCGUAUUGGCUCCCAGAAGCUAUCUUCACAAUUUUGACCUCGGAUCAGGUAGGGAUACCCGCUGAACUUAAGCAUAUCAAUAAGCGGAGGA
rnacentral:misc_RNA from 1 species